UAGGGAAUAUUGGUCAAUGGGCGAGAGCCUGAACCAGCCAUGCCGCGUGCAGGAAGAAGGCCCUCUGGGUUGUAAACUGCUUUUGAACGGGGCCAAAAAGGGUAUGCGUACCAAAUUGAGAGUACCGUUAGAAUAAGCACCGGCUAACUCCGUGCCAGCAGCCGCGGUAAUACGGAGGGUGCAAGCGUUGUCCGGAUUUAUUGGGUUUAAAGGGUGCGUAGGUGGCCUAAUAAGUCAGUGGUGAAAGCCUGUCGCUUAACGAUAGGACUGCCAUUGAUACUGUUAGGCUUGAGUACUGAUGAGGUAGGCGGAAUUGAUAGUGUAGCGGUGAAAUGCAUAGAUAUUAUCAAGAACACCGAUUGCGAAGGCAGCUUACUAAGGAGUUACUGACACUGAGGCACGAAAGCGUGGGGAUCAAACAGGAUUAGAUACCCGGGUAGUCC
rnacentral:rRNA from 1 species